UACGUAGGUGGCAAGCGUUGUCCGGAUUUACUGGGCGUAAAGGAUGUGUAGGCGGAUAUUUAAGUGAGAUGUGAAAUCCCCGGGCUUAACUUGGGGGCUGCAUUUCAAACUGGAUGUCUAGAGUGCAGGAGAGGAAAGCAGAAUUCCUAGUGUAGCGGUGAAAUGCGUAGAGAUUAGGAAGAAUACCAGUGGCGAAGGCGGCUUUCUGGACUGUAACUGACGCUGAGGCAUGAAAGCGUGGGGAGCAAACAGG
rnacentral:rRNA from 3 species